CGUCUUCAGGGCAGGGUGAAAUUCCCGAUCGGCGGUAAUGGGACAUGAUUCCGCAAGUCCGCGAGCCUUUCUCAAGGUUGAAUCGGUGCGAUUCCGAUACCGACAGUAUAGUCUGGAUGGAAGAAGAUG
rnacentral:ncRNA from 1 species